rnacentral:rRNA from 1 species
CAACGCCUGCCCAGUGAAUAAUUAAACGGCCGCGGUACCCUAACCGUGCAAAGGUAGCAUAAUCAUUUGUCUAUUAACUGUAGACCUGUAUGAAAGGCAAAAUGAGGGUUAAGCUGUCUCUUAUAAUAAAUCUAUUAAACUGAUCUUCUAGUAAAAAAGCUAGAAUAAUAACAUAAGACCAGAAGACCCUGUGAAGCUUAAACCAAACUAUUAAACCAAAUAAUAACUACUUUCGGUUGGGGCGACCUUGGAAAUAAAAAGAACUUCCAACACAAUACUUAAACAUAAAACAUUAGGCCAACAAGCCAACAAACGACCCAGCAAAGCUGAUAAACGAACAAAGUUACUCCAGGGAUAACAGCGCUAUCUUCUUCAAGAGCCCAUAUCAAAAAGAAGGUUUACGACCUCGAUGUUGGAUCAGGACAUCCUAAUGGUGCAACCGCUAUUAAAGGUUCGUUUGUUCAACGAUUAAUGUCCUACGU